ACGUAUGGGGCGAGCGUUAUCCGGAUUCAUUGGGCGUAAAGCGCGCGUAGGCGGAGCGCUAAGCGGGACCUCUAACCCGAGGGCUCAACCCCCGGCCGGGUCCCGAACUGGCGCUCUCGAGUGCGGUAGGGGAGAGCGGAAUUCCCGGUGUAGCGGUGGAAUGCGCAGAUAUCGGGAGGAACACCGACGGCGAAGGCAGCUCUCUGGGCCGAAACUGACGCUGAGGCGCGAAAGCUGGGGGAGCGAACAG
rnacentral:rRNA from 1 species